AAACCAAAGUUAAGCUGAAAUGGUUCUGGUAAGUUCUGGUUGCUGAUAAAUUGUUGGACAUGAUGAUUUCAAAGUGUAAAGUUCUCAGACAACCAAAUGAAGAACAAAAGCCAACAUUUCUUGAUCUCCAUUCAGAGUAAAACCAUCAGAGACAGGUUUCUCCUGAGACCCUGGUCUAAAGAGCAGCUGCUCCACUGUGAAGGUUCUGAUGACAAAGCUGUGAUUCUGGUGUUCCCUGAUGUCAGCUUCAGUUUCUUCAUGGAUCAGAUGGACAGACAGACUGUAGAGACGUGUUCUGGCCUCAGUUACCCAGAAAUCCAGCCCUGCUACUAGAGCCUGCUUUGCCCCGCCCUAUAAAAGGAAGUGGAGGCCUUUACUUCCUGUUUGACAGUCUGACCUUUGACCUGACCUGGUCUGGAUGGAGGAAGCACAUGGAGCAACCUUUGAUUUGAUCCAGUACUCAGAAUUUAAACUUCCUCUUUCAGGGCUUUAAGUGGAGCAGCAGGUGAAUGUCCAAACACUAAGUCAGCAGGACUAAAACCUGGGGACUCUUUAGUUGCUUCACUGGGAAACGAGGACACCAGCAGAGAAUCAGUGAGAUGUCUGCAUGUUUUGGUGACUGGGACCGAGUAACCACACAGGCUGGCCAGCAGAACAAGCUGUGCAGCGUUCCAGUCCUCGGGUCAGAACCAGCCUCUCCAUGGGUUGUUGGUGAUAAAGCACAGCGCUGCAGCAGGAGGCCACGGACGAUGAGAGCGGCUCUGAGCUGCAGCUCCUUGAGUCGUGUGACGUUCUGUUUGUGUUGCUGCAGCUUUCUGAAUGGACCGUGUUUGUUCUGCUUCUUCUUCUUCAUGUGUAUUUAUGGAGCCACGCCUCAGUGAGAUAUAUUUAUGUACACUGGAGAAAAAUCUAAUAAAACAAUGGAAA